rnacentral:lncRNA from 1 species
GAGAAUGAAGUACUUGAAAAUAUCACAUUGCUGUUUGAAAAAAUAAUGGUUUUAUUAUUGAAAAGGACGGCACUAAAUGAAACCGACUGGUUGGUAAACUGGGUCAUGUAAACCUACUCUUCUUGGAGAGCAACAGAGGAGAGAGCAAGUUGUUGAUCUUUAGAUCUCUGCUGUUUUGAAAGUGAUAAGGCUGUUAAACAUCACACAGAGAGUUCUUCCAUAUUACACCUGUACCAUACUAUCGUCACAACCAAAGUCCAUACAGGAGCCCGAGGCUGACAAUAAAGCUGGGUUUGUAUGGAGAAACAGUGAUGGGAGCAAGAAGAUGGCAAAGAUGUUCCAUCUAUUGUUUUCUGGACUGAUAAAGGUGGAUGAAGAUCUUCCUAACUUUCAUCAGGCUUUGGGAGAGGUUGAAUUCAAAGGGUUGCAGGCCUUCAGUUGUCCACUGCGUUCUCCAGACAUCAGUCUGAUGCAUACUUCAACAACAAAUGGAAAAAGGCAUCAAUCAUUACAGAUCCUGAAUUUUUACCUGUUUGAUACAGCAUUUGAUGUGGCUGGGAAGAAGACUGAAAGACAGUAA